rnacentral:ncRNA from 3 species
AAAAAAAAAAAAAAAAAAAAAAAAAAAAAAAAAAA